AACUGCUGGACAAGGAGUGUUCUGUUGAACUCAUUUUCACACGAUGAACAACUGGCUUAGAACUGAUUCGGGCAAGGGGAAUCCGACUGUUUAAUUGAAACAAAGUAUUGCGAGGGCCUCAAAGGGUGGUGCCACAAUGUGAUUUCUGCCCAGUGCUCUGAAUGUCAAAGUGAGGAAAUUCAACUAAGCGCGGGUAAACGGCGGGAGUAACUAUGACUCUCUUAAGGUAGCCAAAUGCCUCGUCAUCCAAUUAGUGACGCGCAUGAAUGGAUUAAUGAGAUUCCCACUGUCCCCAUCUACUGUCCAGCGAAACCACAGCCAAGGGAACGGGCUUGGGUAAAUCAGCGGGGAAAGAAGACCCUGUUGAGCUUGACUCUAAUCUGACUUUGUGAAAUGACUUAGGAGGAGUAGGAUAUGUGGGAGCUCUGGUGAUCUUGAAAUACCACUACUCUUAAUGUCACUUUACUUACUCUAUCCAACUGUGCCCUGCCUCCCAGCAGGUUUUUGUUUCAAGGGAUCCCAUCUGACUUGGUGACUUGCCUAGAGAACGUAGGCAGGUGGGCAGUUUGGCUGGGGCGGCACAUCUGUUAAAGGAUAACGCAGGUGUCCCAAGGUAAGCUCAAGGAGAACAGAAAUCUCAUGUGGAUCAGAAGGGGAAACGCUUGCGUGAUUUUGCUUUUCAGUGUGAAGACAAACUGUGCAAACAUGGCCUAUUGAUCCUUUGG
rnacentral:rRNA from 1 species